AAUAAGGUACAGGUGAGUCAUCGAAUCUUUGAACGCACAUUGCACCCGGUGGUAUUCCGCCGGGUAUGCCUGUCUGAGCGUCAUUUCUACCCUCGAGCACUGCUCGGUGUUGGCGGAUUGCCUAGCAACCGCUGAAAAUCAACGGCGGUGGCCCCUAUGUCCCUGUAUAGUACUAUUCUUGCAGUGGUUAUAGCGGUCUACCAGUCUCCUGUCGGCGCCGUAAGAAGCGCUACACCUUGAAACUCGACCUCAGAUCAGGUAGGAAUACCCGCUGAACUUAAGCAUAUCAAUAAGCGGAGG
rnacentral:misc_RNA from 1 species